rnacentral:rRNA from 1 species
CCGUUCCCCGUUCGGGGGACAGGGUGACAGGUGGUGCAUGGUUGUCGUCAGCUCGUGUCGUGAGAUGUUGGGUUAAGUCCCGCAACGAGCGCAACCCCUACGUUUAGUUGCUAACGCGUGAAGGCGAGCACUCUAGACGAACUGCCGUUGACAAAACGGAGGAAGGUGGGAUGACGUCAAAUUAUCAUGCCCCUUAUGUUCUGGGCUACACACGUGCUACAAUGGCCGGUACAGACGGACGCAAAGCCGCGAGGUGGAGCAAAUCCUACAAAGCCGGUCUCAGUUCGGAUUGCAGGCUGCAAUUCGCCUGCAUGAAGUCGGAAUCGCUAGUAAUCGCAGGUCAGCAUACUGCGGUGAAUACGUUCCCGGGCCUU